AUCUGGAUUCAAUCCUAACUACGAAUGUCGUUUGAUGUCAGUCAUUGACUUUUUGAAGGAAAUAUUUUAUUUUCGGCCAAGAAAACGUUUUAGUCCUACGUCCAAUUUUUUAUCCCUUCCAAAUAACAGAAUUGCUCAAGGCCCUCAAAAUAGACAUUUCAAUGAUGAUCUCUUCAUUGGACCCAAAUCUCUUACCGCCCAGUCAUUUCUUCAGGUUUGGAAACAUGAAAUAGUCGCAGGGGGCUAAAUCUGGAGAAAAUGCUGGAUGUGGUAAAGGUUCGUAGCCUAAUUCAUGGAUUUUUGUGACACGUGGGCACUCGUCCUUUGUCCUGAUGAAAAAGCACUUUUUCCAUCAGGACGCCAAAUGCGGCCGUUUUAGCCGUCGUAAUUGAUGUGGCAAUGACACUGCGUGCAUCCAAAAAAACUUUGACCACCACCUCGUCUUCCGACAGACCUUCAUUAGUGCACGUUCACCUGAAGAAAACCACUGUUUUUAUUUUUCUUUCGUCUCUGGUGUGUUGUGAUUGAUCCAUGUUUCGUCAACUGUUACGAAAUGGCGCAAAAACUCGUUCGGAUUGCGCCGAAACAGCGCUAAACAUUCAUUUGAAAUUAAGUAAUGUUGAUGGCGCCUUUCUACAAGUUAGACCUAAAUUGAUAUAAAUGUAAAAUUUCGAAUCCAAAAACCCCUAAAUAUCAAAUUUUAACAGUA